rnacentral:rRNA from 1 species
UUCCANGUGUAGCGGUGAAAUGCGUAGAUAUAUGGAGGAACACCGGUGGCGAAAGCGGCUCUCUGGUCUGUAACUGACGCUGAGGCUCGAAAGCGUGGGGAGCGAACAGGAUUAGAUACCCUGGUAGUNCACGCCGUAAACGAUGAGUGCUAGGUGUUGGAUCCUUUCCGGGAUUCAGUGCCGCAGCUAACGCAUUAAGCACUCCGCCUGGGGAGUACGACCGCAAGGUUGAAACUCAAAGGAAUUGACGGGGGCCCGCACAAGCGGUGGAGUAUGUGGUUUAAUUCGAAGCAACGCGAAGAACCUUACCAGGUCUUGACAUCCCGAUGCUAUUUCUAGAGAUAGAAAGUUACUUCGGUACAUCGGUGACAGGUGGUGCAUGGUUGUCGUCAGCUCGUGUCGUGAGAUGUUGGGUUAAGUCCCGCAACGAGCGCAACCCCUAUUGUUAGUUGCCAUCAUUCAGUUGGGCACUCUAGCGAGACUGCCGGUAAUAAACCGGAGGAAGGUGGGGAUGACGUCAAAUCAUCAUGCCCCUUAUGACCUGGGCCACACACGUGCUACAAUGGUUGGUACAACGAGUUGCGAGUCGGUGACGGCAAGCUAAUCUCUUAAAGCCAAUCUCAGUUCGGAUUGUAGGCUGCAACU